GUACACUCCUACGGGAGACAGCAGUGGGGAAUAUUGGACAAUGGGCGCAAGCCUGAUCAAGCCAUGCCGCGUGAGUGAUGAAGGCCCUAGGGUUGUAAAGCUCUUUCACCGGUGAAGAUAAUGACGGUAACCGGAGAAGAAGCCCCGGCUAACUUCGUGCCAGCAGCCGCGGUAAUACGAAGGGGGCUAGCGUUGUUCGGAUUUACUGGGCGUAAAGCGCACGUAGGCGGACUAUUAAGUCAGGGGUGAAAUCCCGGGGCCCAACCCCGGAACUGCCUUUGAUACUGGUAGUCUUGAGUUCGAGAGAGGUGAGUGGAAUUCCGAGUGUAGAGGUGAAAUUCGUAGAUAUUCGGAGGAACACCAGUGGCGAAGGCGGCUCACUGGCUCGAUACUGACGCUGAGGUGCGAAAGCGUGGGGAGCAAACAGGAUUAGAUACCCCGGUAGUCC
rnacentral:rRNA from 1 species